CAGGAUGGCCGAGAGGUCUAAGGUGCUGCGUUCAGGCCGCUGUCUACUUGUCUCUGCGUGAGAUCGAAUCUCACUUCUACGA